UCAGAGUGAGGUCCAGCGCAAAUUGAAGGAACAGCACCUCAUAUUUCGCUUGGGAAGCUUACACCCCAGCGAUAUGAACAUUGCCUUCUCUAACUCCAAAUAGCCCUUGCUUUCACUCUGUCUCUAUCCCCCCCCCCCCCUCCUUCCCAGUUCUCCCACC